rnacentral:tRNA from 1 species
GAGGUUGUGGCUCAGUUGUAGAGUGCUCACCUGGCAUGUGUGAGGUCCUGGGUUCCAUCCUCAGCACCACA